AUGACUUAAAUCACAUGACAAUGUGACAGAAAAUCCAAAUAAGGAUUUUAAAUCACGGUAUAAUCCUUUUUUAGCGGUUUGCAAGGAAAUGAUUUGGAAAUUAUGUUGCAGUUUACGACCAACAACCAUUUGCUUAGCACCAGUAGAUUUCAAGAUAACUGCAAAUGGUAGUCCCAAAAUCAGAAGAAUUUUGUCUGUCAUCUUUACUACGUGAACUUUAAAAGGCCUUGUUAUACCAAAGGGCGUCCAAUGGAGAAAUUGGGCUCCAUUAACGAUUCAAACUCAUUGAUUCUAACAGCCUGGUUGCAAACUUUUAGCCAUUGUGUUGUAAUGAAUGUAUUUAUAAUCCAGUCUACAACACUUACAAAAUGCCAAGGUACACAGUUAUGUCUACGCUGAGACGUUUAAUCUGACAAUGUAGUUGAUAAUACUUCUUUUUUGCUAUGUAAUAUGGCCAUCAGUUGGUUUUUCAGUGUCGUCUAUCCCUUUACCUUGUCUGCUUUUCCGCCUCACGAUUCCAUGCCGCUUAACACUAAACGCUCUAAAAAGAGAAUUGACGAGUUCUCUUAAAAAAAUUAUCCAUAUUUUAUGUGCGACUUUCAUUUUUGGUUGUAUAUUAAGACAAAAGAUGGCGCUGAUGGACGUAUGUUUUUCUAUGACAAGUGAAUCAGCAGUGAACUGUGAA